GACGGGGGCCCGCACAAGCGGUGGAGCAUGUGGUUUAAUUCGAUGAUACGCGAGGAACCUUACCUGGGCUAGAACGCAAUCGGAAUCAGGCCGAAAGGUCUGCGCCAGCGAUGGCCGGUUGCGAGGUGCUGCAUGGUUGUCGUCAGCUCGUGCCGUGAGGUGUCGGGUUAAGUCCCAUAACGAGCGCAACCCCUAUCAUUAGUUGCCAUCAGGUCAAGCUGGGGACUCUAAUGAAACUGCCUACGCAAGUAGUGAGGAAGGUGGGGAUGACGUCAAAUCAGCACGGCCCUUACGUCCAGGGCUACACACGUGCUACAAUGGCCGGUACAAAGGGCAGCUACCUGGUGACAGGAUGCUAAUCUCAAAAGCCGGUCUCAGUUCGGAUCGGAGUCUGCAACCCGACUGCGUGAAGUCGGAAUCGCUAGUAAUCGUGAAUCAGAAUGUCACGGUGAAUACGUUCCCGGGCCUU
rnacentral:rRNA from 1 species